rnacentral:rRNA from 1 species
GAUUUCCGAAUGGGGAAACCCAGUGUGAUUCGUCACACUAUCAUUAACUGAAUCCAUAGGUUAAUGAGGCGAACCGGGGGAACUGAAACAUCUAAGUACCCCGAGGAAAAGAAAUCAACCGAGAUUCCCCCAGUAGCGGCGAGCGAACGGGGAGGAGCCCAGAGCCUGAAUCAGCAUGUGUGUUAGUGGAAGCGUCUGGAAAGGCGCGCGAUACAGGGUGACAGCCCCGUACACAAAAGCGCAUGUGCUGUGAGCUCGAUGAGUAGGGCGGGACACGUGGUAUCCUGUCUGAAUAUGGGGGGACCAUCCUCCAAGGCUAAAUACUCCUGACUGACCGAUAGUGAACCAGUACCGUGAGGGAAAGGCGAAAAGAACCCCGGCGAGGGGAGUGAAAAAGAACCUGAAACCGUGUACGUACAAGCAGUGGGAGCACCCUUUGGGGUGUGACUGCGUACCUUUUGUAUAAUGGGUCAGCGACUUAUAUUCUGUAGCAAGGUUAACCGUAUAGGGGAGCCGGAGGGAAACCGAGUCUUAACCGGGCGUUAAGUUGCAGGGUAUAGACCCGAAACCCGGUGAUCUAGCCAUGGGCAGGUUGAAGGUUGGGUAACACUAACUGGAGGACCGAACCGACUAAUGUUGAAAAAUUAGCGGAUGACCUGUGGCUGGGGGUGAAAGGCCAAUCAAACCGGGAGAUAGCUGGUUCUCCCCGAAAGCUAUUUAGGUAGCGCCUCGUGAAUUCAUCUCCGGGGGUAGAGCACUGUUUCGGCUAGGGGGCCAUCCCGGCUUACCAACCCGAUGCAAACUGCGAAUACCGGAGAAUGUUAUCACGGGAGACACACGGCGGGUGCUAACGUCCGUCGUGAAGAGGGAAACAACCCAGACCGCCAGCUAAGGUCCCAAAGUCAUGGUUAAGUGGGAAACGAUGUGGGAAGGCCCAGACAGCCAGGAUGUUGGCUUAGAAGCAGCCAUCAUUUAAAGAAAGCGUAAUAGCUCACUGGUCGAGUCGGCCUGCGCGGAAGAUGUAACGGGGCUAAACCAUGCACCGAAGCUGCGGCAGCGACGCUUAUGCGUUGUUGGGUAGGGGAGCGUUCUGUAAGCCUGUGAAGGUGGCCUGUGAGGGUUGCUGGAGGUAUCAGAAGUGCGAAUGCUGACAUAAGUAACGAUAAAGCGGGUGAAAAGCCCGCUCGCCGGAAGACCAAGGGUUCCUGUCCAACGUUAAUCGGGGCAGGGUGAGUCGACCCCUAAGGCGAGGCCGAAAGGCGUAGUCGAUGGGAAACGGGUUAAUAUUCCCGUACUUGGUGUUACUGCGAAGGGGGGACGGAGAAGGCUAUGUUGGCCGGGCGACGGUUGUCCCGGUUUAAGCGUGUAGGCUGGUUUUCCAGGCAAAUCCGGAAAAUCAAGGCUGAGGCGUGACGACGAGGCACUACGGUGCUGAAGCAACAAAUGCCCUGCUUCCAGGAAAAGCCUCUAAGCAUCAGGUAACAUCAAAUCGUACCCCAAACCGACACAGGUGGUCAGGUAGAGAAUACCAAGGCGCUUGAGAGAACUCGGGUGAAGGAACUAGGCAAAAUGGUGCCGUAACUUCGGGAGAAGGCACGCUGACACGUAGGUGAAGUGAUUUACUCAUGGAGCUGAAGUCAGUCGAAGAUACCAGCUGGCUGCAACUGUUUAUUAAAAACACAGCACUGUGCAAACACGAAAGUGGACGUAUACGGUGUGACGCCUGCCCGGUGCCGGAAGGUUAAUUGAUGGGGUCAGCGCAAGCGAAGCUCCUGAUCGAAGCCCCGGUAAACGGCGGCCGUAACUAUAACGGUCCUAAGGUAGCGAAAUUCCUUGUCGGGUAAGUUCCGACCUGCACGAAUGGCGUAAUGAUGGCCAGGCUGUCUCCACCCGAGACUCAGUGAAAUUGAACUCGCUGUGAAGAUGCAGUGUACCCGCGGCAAGACGGAAAGACCCCGUGAACCUUUACUAUAGCUUGACACUGAACAUUGAGCCUUGAUGUGUAGGAUAGGUGGGAGGCUUUGAAGUGUGGACGCCAGUCUGCAUGGAGCCGACCUUGAAAUACCACCCUUUAAUGUUUGAUGUUCUAACGUGGACCCGUUACCCGGGUUGCGGACAGUGUCUGGUGGGUAGUUUGACUGGGGCGGUCUCCUCCUAAAGAGUAACGGAGGAGCACGAAGGUUGGCUAAUCCUGGUCGGACAUCAGGAGGUUAGUGCAAUGGCAUAAGCCAGCUUGACUGCGAGCGUGACGGCGCGAGCAGGUGCGAAAGCAGGUCAUAGUGAUCCGGUGGUUCUGAAUGGAAGGGCCAUCGCUCAACGGAUAAAAGGUACUCCGGGGAUAACAGGCUGAUACCGCCCAAGAGUUCAUAUCGACGGCGGUGUUUGGCACCUCGAUGUCGGCUCAUCACAUCCUGGGGCUGAAGUAGGUCCCAAGGGUAUGGCUGUUCGCCAUUUAAAGUGGUACGCGAGCUGGGUUUAGAACGUCGUGAGACAGUUCGGUCCCUAUCUGCCGUGGGCGCUGGAGAACUGAGGGGGGCUGCUCCUAGUACGAGAGGACCGGAGUGGACGCAUCACUGGUGUUCGGGUUGUCAUGCCAAUGGCACUGCCCGGUAGCUAAAUGCGGAAGAGAUAAGUGCUGAAAGCAUCUAAGCACGAAACUUGCCCCGAGAUGAGUUCUCCCUGAGACUUAGAGUC